AAUGGAGCCAAUAAUAAAAUAUGAAUGAUUAACCUUCAUCAGCCUCUGGAGGAUCACAGUCCAACAUCUUUACUGCACACAGCUGUAAAAACACCAGAUUAGGUUGUUUUAUUCACAUUUAUCAGAGAUCUCAGGAGAGACUUUAUAUCAAACAGAGGAGGAGCAGAGGAGCAGAGGAGCAGAGGAGGCUCACAGUGACUCAGGAGGUGUUGGACUGUUUGUCUGAGCAGCACCUCUGCCCUCUCACUGUCACUCAGACUGGACUGAGCAUGGAUCAGAGAGAGACCAGAGAGGACGGAGCCCCUCCCUCUAUAAAAGCUCACAGACCUGCUCCUGAGGACAGCGACAUCCCAUUCAAGAGUGUUCGCUCUAUGGUACGAGGGAUAGAGUCAAAAAGAGAACAUGGUCCAGAACCUGCUCCUGAGGCCAGAGGCGUCUCAUUCAAGAGGGUUGGAUCUAUGGGACGAGGUCGACAGUAAGUCAGACUCAACACCUCAUAAUGUCAGGACUUUAUGUUCACAGCCUUUUUAGAAUGAUAUGGAUGACUUGUUUUUUAUUAAACUCAACAUAAGUGUAAGAGCUGCAGAUGACCUCUGUGACUGUGAGGAGGAACUUCAUGCUCGUCUCAGCAGCAGGAAAUGCAACACACUUAUGUCUUUGUCCUACAAAAGUCCUUCUAUGAGAUCCUAGUCCAGGCCCAUCACCCGCUGGACCUGCUCAAGUCACAUGACUUUAACCACUGUGUUUCUCCAACAGAGACACUUUAGAUUUGAAACUGGAAUUAAAAUGGAGUCUGAAAAGAGACAACAGUCGACAAACUUCUUUCAGUAAAAGGAAGAAAACAACAAACUUUAAUAAUUCAGAUAAAACUGUCAUGGCCCAGACAAAUAGACAAGUUUAUUAUAACACAAUUCAUACACAAAGUCAUUCAAAGAGCUUUACAGAAUAAGAAAGACAUUAAACUCACAAAACAAACAAAACAUAAAUAAUCAUAAUAAAAGUGUAGAGCUGAAUAAAACCUCUCAGUCAUAUGCACAGAUAAACAGAACCGUUUGAGCCUGGAUUUAAACACUGUCAGAGCAGAGGCCUGUCUCACAUCUUCAGGAAGGAACUAGACCAGGACUAA